UACGGGGGGGGCAAGCGUUGUUCGGAAUUACUGGGCGUAAAGGGCUCGUAGGCGGCCAACUAAGUCGGACGUGAAAUCCCUCGGCUUAACCGGGGAACUGCGUCCGAUACUGGAUGGCUUGAGUGUGGGAGAGGGAUGCGGAAUUCCAGGUGUAGCGGUGAAAUGCGUAGAUAUCUGGAGGAACACCGGUGGCGAAGGCGGCAUCCUGGACCAAGACUGAAGCUGAGUGAGCGAAAGCCAGGGGAGCAAACGGG
rnacentral:rRNA from 1 species